UCGAGAAUUUUUCACAAUGGGGGAAACCCUGAUGGAGCGACGCCGCGUGGGGGAUGAAUGGCUUCGGCCCGUAAACCCCUGUCAUUUGCGAACAAACCUGGUGGUUGAACAAACUGCCAGCUGAUAGUAGCAGAAGAGGAAGGGACGGCUAACUCUGUGCCAGCAGCCGCGGUAAUACAGAGGUCCCAAGCGUUGUUCGGAUUCACUGGGCGUAAAGGGUGCGUAGGCGGUGGGGUAAGUUUGAGGUGAAAUCUCCGGGCUCAACCCGGAAAUUGCCUUGAAGACUAUCCUGCUAGAGGAUCGGAGGGGAGACUGGAAUUCUCGGUGUAGCAGUGAAAUGCGUAGAUAUCGAGAGGAACACCAGUGGCGAAGGCGAGUCUCUGGACGAUUCCUGACGCUG
rnacentral:rRNA from 1 species